ensembl:lncRNA
AGUUUUAGAAAAGUACAGCUUUAUUUUAAAUACUUUUAAAGUCAGUGCAAUUUAAUUCAAAUCAAAAGAAAAUCAAUUAGAGGGCUGGAAAUGGGUGGAUGGACCAGACUAGGUGUGUCUGGGGGGGACCCACCAAAUAAAGAAAACAAACUCAAAACCACCCGACGUAGUGAGGAACCCGCUUCCCAGGACACAGCAAACAAAGGGGUAGGACACCACCGCCACCACCAGUCUCCAGCAACAAAAAAGACAAAAACAAAUUACAAAAUUACAAUAAAAUAACAUCCAUCCAACAAUACAAAGGGACACAGCCCUGGUUAAAAUUAGGGAUUGUAGGAUUUCUCUCUGCUUUUGGAGUGGCAAAACUUCAGAGUCGUUAGCACUGCACAUGAGUCUGAUGCUAUAACCACUCUCUCUGGCCUGACGUCCUCUACCCACUGCAGUGCAAAAACUAUGGCCAUCAUCUCGCAUUUAAACACUGAUAAGUCAUCACUGAGUCUUUUCCUACACUUAUACUGGAAUUCUGGUAUUACUGCUGCCGCGGUGCUGUUCUACCAGUUUCAGAGUCCUUAGCUCCGUCUCUAUAUAGAAAUAUAUACCUCCUGAUAUAUGACUUGUAGAUCUUACAUUUACCCCCACCCUCAUCUCUCAUCAGUUCAAGUAGUCCCAGGUCCACUUCAGGCUGUGGCAGUAUCCAAGAAGGAACAGCUGGCGGCACCACUGCUGGAGAGUAACUCCUAUCCAGUUUACCUAGUUCCCUAGGCUUCUCCCUAGCAACCCAACCAAAGCUCUUUGGUGGCGCCUUAUCAUGUUCCCAGCACGGCUCAAUUGCACUUAUUGUUGGAUGGUUGAUAUGUCCUUGUAGAUGCCCAAUAUGACAUUAUUAUCUGUGUCCUCAACUCCAACCGCAUUUCCCCCAUUUCCACCUGCAAUGCCGGCACUGAUGUUGUUUUAAAGGCCCCACUACAUAGUCUUAACGCUUUUACCUGUAUUACAUCUAAUUUUCCCAACACGGUUUUAGACGCCGACCUGUAAGCCACACACCCAUAGUCUAUUACUGAUCUGAUCAGUCCCAUAUAUAUAGCUUUUAAAGCAGCCCUGUCAGCUCCCCACUCUGUUCCCACCAAGCAUCUCAUUACAUUUAAAACCUUUUUACAUUUAUUAACAACUUUCUCAAUAUGUCCCUUCCAGGUAAGCUUCGCAUCAAACCACAUUCCUAAAAAUUCGUACGAGUUCAUCCUUUUCAGCUCCUUCCCAUAUAAAUAGAUUCUGCCCAUUGUCCCAAUUUUCUUUCUUGUAAAGAAAAGGGUAUUUGUUUUUUCCACUGAAAAUCUAAAUCCCCAUUCCAAUGACCACUGUUCCACUCUUUUGAUUGUUUCCUGCAUCUGUUUCACCACAUAUUCCACAUUCCUACCUCUUUUCCAUAGUGCCCCAUCAUCUGCAAAUAAAGAUCUCCCUAUAUUAUGUGUAUUGUAUGUAUUUUCAUAUACAUCAUCAAUCAUUAUUGAAAACAAUAACGGACUAAUCACACUUCCCUGCGGUGUUCCAUUGUCCACCAAAUGGCUGUCCGACACACACCUUCCCACUCUUACUUCUAUAGAGUGCCCCACCAAAAAUUGUUUAAGCCAUCUGAACAUUUUAUCCAAUAUUCCUAAUUUCUUAAUUUUGAUUAAUAGUCCCUCUUUCCACAGUAAAUCAUAGUCUCGCCUCGAAGUAUUACCCGUAAGGAAUCAGAACAUGUAUCUUAAAAUGUUAUUUAUUUUUACUUCAAUGCACUAGUUUAGCUAAGUUAGUUAACAUUAGUUUCUUUCCAUAACAAUAUAUUUUUUAAUCAAGCUAACUUCAUAACCUUCAUGGAUAUUCAUCGAUUGUUCUAUCUGACUCUUUUACAGCAAUUUCUGACUGCAAAAGCAUCCUGUGUCUGCCAUCCCACUGCAAGAGUGUCCGGGUCCACGUCACUGACUGCACCAUCCCACUGCAAGAGUGUCCUGGUCCACCUCACUGACCUGCUAGGCAUAAAACGGUGAAUGUUUCUGACUGAAAAAGCGAUUCCAAUGUUAAAAAGCGC